rnacentral:rRNA from 1 species
GACGAACGCUGGCGGCGUGCUUAACACAUGCAAGUCGAACGGAAAGGCCCUGCUUUUGUGGGGUGCUCGAGUGGCGAACGGGUGAGUAACACGUGAGUAACCUGCCCUUGACUUUGGGAUAACGUCAGGAAACCGGGGCUAAUACCGGAUAGGAGCUCCGGCUGCAUGGUGGGGGUUGGAAAGUUUCGGCGGUUGGGGAUGGACUCGCGGCUUAUCAGCUUGUGGGUGGGGUAGUGGCUUACCAAGGCUUUGACGGGUAGCCGGCCUGAGAGGGUGACCGGCCACAUUGGGACUGAGAUACGGCCCAGACUCCUACGGGAGGCAGCAGUGGGGAUUAUUGCACAUUGGGCGGCAGCCUGAUGCAGCACCGCCGCGUGCGGGAUGACGGCCUUCGGGUUGUCAACCGCUUUCGCCUGUGACGAAGCGUGAGUGACGGUAAUGGGUAAAGAAGCACCGGCUAACUCCGUG